UACGUAGGGGGCUAGCGUUGUCCGGAAUCAUUGGGCGUAAAGCGCGUGUAGGCGGCCAGGUAGGUCCGCUGUGAAAACUCGAGGCUCAACCUCGAGAUGUCGGCGGAAACCAUCUGGCUAGAGUCCGGAAGAGGAGAGUGGAAUUCCCGGUGUAGCGGUGAAAUGCGCAGAUAUCGGGAAGAACACCCGUGGCGAAGGCGGCUCUCUGGGACGGUACUGACGCUGAGACGCGAAAGCGUGGGGAGCGAACAGG
rnacentral:rRNA from 1 species